GGGCGAUUAGCUCAGCUGGUUAGAGCACUUCGCUUACACCGAAGGGGUCUGAGGUUCGAAUCCUUAAUCGCCCACCA
rnacentral:tRNA from 2 species